GCUUCACUCACACACACACCUAAGGCCAAGGGAGAAAAUUGUGGGAUUUGUGUAGUUUUGUGUGGUUUAAGGCUUGAAGUGUGUGCAAGGAAGUAUUUUGGUAAAAGCUCGAUCCCGAUGCUAAUGGAAAGUUCAAGUUAUGAACAGAGAGACGUAGGUGGCCGGGAUGGGAUCUAGGAUUUGCAUUAGAUCAUUGCAUCUCAAUUAUCUUAAUAAGUGCACUUGCACAACAAAUUUAGCUUUUCUUUAAAUUCUCAGUUAUUGAAUCUUUCAUAAUUAAAUUUUUGAAAUCACCGUUUCCGCAU